rnacentral:rRNA from 1 species
AGUGAACGCUGGCGGUAGGCCUAACACAUGCAAGUCGAACGGCAGCACAGUAAGAGCUUGCUCUUACGGGUGGCGAGUGGCGGACGGGUGAGGAAUACAUCGGAAUCUACUUUUUCGUGGGGGAUAACGUGGGGAACUUACGCUAAUACCGCAUACGACCUACGGGUGAAAGCAAGGGGACUUUCGACCUUGCGCGGUUGAAUGAGCCGAUGUCGGAUUAGCUAGUUGGCGGGGUAAAGGGCCACCAAGGCGACGAUCCGUAGCUGGUCUGAGAGGAUGAUCAGCCACACUGGAACUGAGACACGGUCCAGACUCCUACGGGAGGCAGCAGUGGGGAAUAUUGGACAAUGGGCGCAAGCCUGAUCCAGCCAUACCGCGUGGGUGAAGAAGGCCUUCGGGUUGUAAAGCCCUUUUGUUGGGAAAGAAAAGCAGCAGGUUAAUACCCCGCUGUUCUGACGGUACCCAAAGAAUAAGCACCGGCUAACUUCGUG